rnacentral:rRNA from 1 species
UACGUAGGGUCCGAGCGUUGUCCGGAGUUACUGGGCGUAAAGCGCGCGCAGGCGGCGGUGCUGGCCCGGCGUGAAAGCCCCCGGCUCAACCGGGGGAGGUCGUCGGGGACCGCACCGCUUGAGGGCGGUAGGGGCUGGUGGAAUGCCUGGUGUAGUGGUGAAAUGCGUAGAGAUCAGGCGGAACACCCGUGGCGAAGGCGGCCAGCUGGGCCGUCCCUGACGCUGAGGCGCGAAGGCGGUGGGGAGCGAACGGG